rnacentral:lncRNA from 10 species
UGUUAAAAGGGUUUUAAAUAAGUCUCUUUUUCAAUGGUGUAAGUAUGAGAUUUGUGAAGCCCUUUCCAGAUGCAUGUGUGUUUGCUUAUGUUUAAAAAAUCACUUGAGUGCAAACAUUUAAACACAUUUUAUAAAACUGGCGGGCCAGGCACGGUGGCUCAUGCCUGUAAUCCCAGCACUUUGGGAGGCCGAGGCGGGUGGAUCACGAGGUCAGGAGUUUGAGACCAGCCUGACCAACAUGGUGAAACCCCGUCUCUACUGGGGGAAAAAAAAAAUUAGCCAGGCGUGGUGGUGGGUGCCUGUAGUCCCAGCUACUCAGGAGGCUGAGGCAGGAGAAUCACUUGAACCCAGGAGGCGGAGGUUGCAAUGAGCCGAGAUCAUGCCAUUGUGCUCCGGCCUGGGUGACAAAGCGAGACUCUUUCUCAAAAAAACAAAAACAAAAACAAACAGACAAACAAACAAAACUGGCAUGGCAUUGGACAGUGACACAUAAGAAGCUGAUGUCAUCUUUGCCACUUAGAGAAGGCAAAAUAUCUUGUUAGAUAACCCCUCUUAAAUGCUCUGCUUGGCUAGUACUUUUUGGGCUUGGUCAGUGAUUAGAGUUUAAGUUGUAAAUGGUAUUCAUAAUUUCUUGUCUCUGUCUCAUCCCAAACAGAUUAGAAAAUCUUUGAUUUUUGUUGGUAAGGAGCUAGCAUCUUAUUAAUACAAAGCCUUGUGCAUAAAUUAUUUCCAGUAAUUAUUUAGUGCCUAAUGUGGCAUGCUUUGUGCUGAGUGCUGAGGAUAAAAGAGGAAUAAGGUAAGAUCUUUAUAGUUUAGCAGAGGAGGAUGUGAGUGGGCAGAAAAAUGUUAUGAGUUCUAUAAUAGGAAUAUGUAUAGGGGAACUUGGUUACAGCUCAGCUUAAUUGAGAAAGGGUGUGAAAUGAAAAGACCAAACAUUCUUUGCAGAACAGCUAAACAGUUGGAAUUAUAUACUCAGAUGAGUUAAUGAUUAUAAAUAGCCAUCAUUUAUUAUCUCUCCAGAACUCCAGAACCAAGGUUAUAAAAAAUGAAUAGUUCUUUAUUUAGUUCAGAAGCAUUUGUGAAGUAUCUAUAGCAUCUGUAACAUGGCAGGCCCUAAGGACGCUGGCAUGAAUAGUGGGCCGUCAUCUACUGGGAGAGUCAGUAUAGCGUGUACGUGCGUUAGAGGUGAAAUGCAUAAAGGGGCAUCCAACAUGGCUGGUGGCUGGCCAUGUGAACAAGACAUUUGCAUUUGCCACAGCAUAAAGAAGGAUAUUUCUGAGUCAUGGAGUAUUUUAUUAUGUUUAUUUGGCCCCAAUAUUUCCAAAUAAAAAGAGGCCUUUGCUUUUGUGCUACAGGCGUUUCUUAUCUUUAGGAAGAAUGGGCCGGGCGCGGUGGCUCACACCUGUAAUCCCAGCACUUUGGGAGGUCAAGGCAGGCGGAUCACAAGGUCAGGAGUUCGAGACAAGCCUGACCAAUAUGGUGAAACCCCAUCUCUACUAAAAAUACAAAAAUUAGCUGGGCUUGGUGGCACACGCGUGUAGUCCCAGCUACUCAGGAGGCGAGGCAGGAGAAUUGCUUGAACCUGGUAGGUGGAGGUUACAGUGAGCCAAGAUCGUGCCAUUGCACUCCAGCCUGGGUGACAGAGUGAGACUCCAUCUAAAAAAAAAAAAAAAGGCACGGUUUUGAAUCUGCACACUCAAAAAUGGCCACAGCUUUCCCGCUACUUUAAGCACUCAUAAUAGAUUAAGCAUGGGUCAGAUCUCACCACUCAUUAGCUAUUGGGUCUGACCACUAAUUAUUUAGUGGAUCUCUAGAUCAGUUAUGUAACAUCUCUAAAUCUUACUUUCUUCUACUGUAAAUUAGAGAUAAAAAAAGUAGCCAACUCCUAGUGGUUUUGUGAGCAU